AAAAAGGUAAGCUAAAUAAGCUACUGGGUUCAUACCCCACUUAUAAAGGUUACUCCUUUCCUUUUUA
rnacentral:tRNA from 1 species